CGCCCGCCGGCGACCGGCGCACGGGUGAGUAACACGUAUGCAACCUGGCCGCCACAGGGGGAUAACCCGCGGAAACGCGGCCUAAUACCCCGUGACGCCACCGGAGGGCAUCCUCCGGUGGCCAAAGGAGCGAUCCGGUGGCGGAUGGGCAUGCGGCGCAUUAGGUAGUUGGUAGGGUAACGGCCUACCAAGCCGACGAUGCGUAGGGGUUCUGAGAGGAAGGUCCCCCACAUUGGUACUGAGACACGGACCAGACUCCUACGGGAGGCAGCAG
rnacentral:rRNA from 1 species